rnacentral:rRNA from 1 species
AAUCGGGGCAGGGUGAGUCGACCCCUAAGGCGAGGCCGAAAGGCGUAGUCGAUGGGAAACGGGUUAAUAUUCCCGUACUUGGUGUUACUGCGAAGGGGGGACGGAGAAGGCUAUGUUGGCCGGGCGACGGUUGUCCCGGUUUAAGCGUGUAGGUGUGUGUUCCAGGUAAAUCCGGUUCACUUUAACACUGAGGCGUGACGACGAGGCACUACGGUGCUGAAGCAACAAAUGCCCUGCUUCCAGGAAAAGCCUCUAAGCAUCAGGUAACAUCAAAUCGUACCCCAAACCGACACAGGUGGUCAGGUAGAGAAUACCAAGGCGCUUGAGAGAACUCGGGUGAAGGAACUAGGCAAAAUGGUGCCGUAACUUCGGGAGAAGGCACGCUGACACGUAGGUGAAGUGAUUUACUCAUGGAGCUGAAGUCAGUCGAAGAUACCAGCUGGCUGCAACUGUUUAUUAAAAACACAGCACUGUGCAAACACGAAAGUGGACGUAUACGGUGUGACGCCUGCCCGGUGCCGGAAGGUUAAUUGAUGGGGUCAGCGCAAGCGAAGCUCCUGAUCGAAGCCCCGGUAAACGGCGGCCGUAACUAUAACGGUCCUAAGGUAGCGAAAUUCCUUGUCGGGUAAGUUCCGACCUGCACGAAUGGCGUAAUGAUGGCCAGGCUGUCUCCACCCGAGACUCAGUGAAAUUGAACUCGCUGUGAAGAUGCAGUGUACCCGCGGCAAGACGGAAAGACCCCGUGAACCUUUACUAUAGCUUGACACUGAACAUUGAGCCUUGAUGUGUAGGAUAGGUGGGAGGCUUUGAAGUGUGGACGCCAGUCUGCAUGGAGCCGACCUUGAAAUACCACCCUUUAAUGUUUGAUGUUCUAACGUGGACCCGUUACCCGGGUUGCGGACAGUGUCUGGUGGGUAGUUUGACUGGGGCGGUCUCCUCCUAAAGAGUAACGGAGGAGCACGAAGGUUGGCUAAUCCUGGUCGGACAUCAGGAGGUUAGUGCAAUGGCAUAAGCCAGCUUGACUGCGAGCGUGACGGCGCGAGCAGGUGCGAAAGCAGGUCAUAGUGAUCCGGUGGUUCUGAAUGGAAGGGCCAUCGCUCAACGGAUAAAAGGUACUCCGGGGAUAACAGGCUGAUACCGCCCAAGAGUUCAUAUCGACGGCGGUGUUUGGCACCUCGAUGUCGGCUCAUCACAUCCUGGGGCUGAAGUAGGUCCCAAGGGUAUGGCUGUUCGCCAUUUAAAGUGGUACGCGAGCUGGGUUUAGAACGUCGUGAGACAGUUCGGUCCCUAUCUGCCGUGGGCGCUGGAGAACUGAGGGGGGCUGCUCCUAGUACGAGAGGACCGGAGUGGACGCAUCACUGGUGUUCGGGUUGUCAUGCCAAUGGCACUGCCCGGUAGCUAAAUGCGGAAGAGAUAAGUGCUGAAAGCAUCUAAGCACGAAACUUGCCCCGAG